AAAAAUAAAAAAUUAUAGAAAGUAAUAGAAAAAAGAAAAUGCGGGAAAGAGUACCUCUUAAAACACCCCUACAACCUCAAAAGGCAAAAUAUUUUUUUCCCUCUUUCAGAUCUCUAAAUUUUCGAUUUUAAUUUGCCGGAGUACUCAUCGGAAAAAAGUAUGAACGCCGCUGAAAAUAGCCGGCGCUGGGACCGGCGAGACAAUACUAGAUUUUUGAAGAAGCAGAAACUCAUACUUAACUCAGAAGAACAACUCAAAUCUAAGCUCGGAUUUGAUGUCUUCACUGAAGGGAAUAAAUGACUCAGCUGACUUCUUACUCUUUCCUCUGUACUAUGGCUCCUAGAGUUCCACCAUCCAGAGGCAGAGGCUGAAGCCAAUGUGUCGGGCAAGCACAAAGUUCUAAUCCACCGGCUCGUAACACCAGGUAGAAUCGUCAACUGGUAGUUUCUUCAUCCUCCUCUGCUGAAGAGGUGGUUCAGAGUAGUAGCAGCAACACCUCUAUUUCUAUUUCGCUUGAAGUGGGGGUUGAAACUUCUAACCUUUUUCAAAUGGAGGUUCAUGAAAAAGAGGAUCCCAAUGUCAUUUGACAAAAGGAUCAGCAGUUCAGGGAAGCAAUCAGAUGGCAAGUGUCGGGUGCUAGUAAGAUUUUCAACGAAGGGCUGGAACCAACAGACAGGUCACAAAUCAAAAGGGCGAUUUUCGAGGAGCACCAGAUUAUUACUACAACCUUUUAUGAAUAUCCUGAAAUCGAGCGCAGGUUCAACGAGUAUCACUUACAAUGGAUGAGUAGGCCACUAGGUUCGUACCAACCUAACUUUGUUCAGGAAUUCUUCGCCGAUUAUUUGGCAUGCUAAACAAGGAUCUGCCGAAAGGUAAAGUAGCUGCUGACAGAAGCAAGCUCACAACAGUUCCCGUGCGCGGAGUCGAUAUCGAUAUUUUAUCACGAACUCUGAACAGGUUCUUAUUUGGGCCUAAAUAUUAGAUUCCCGAGCUAGUUCCUGAGUUAGAGUAUCGGCUUUCUACAUAGACCACACAAAAUCCAUGGUUAGCCAGGAUCCUGACUGACGAAGGCGAGCCUAUAUGGUUUUAUGACCCCCCUACACACAUAUCAAAGAAAUGCUUAAGCUUCAGGGCAAAGUUCUGGGGGGCGAUCGUGUCACUGAGGUUGACACCUACAAGAGGUGAUGAUAGAUUAGAGCUCACUCGGGCUGUGAUCGUUGCUGCUUUAAUCGAGGGUUUUAUAGUGGAUUUUGGCCAUAUUAUCUCUGAUGAGAUGUUCUUCCGGACGCACAGGACUAUGACUGCCUUACCAUUUCCAUGCCUCAUCACCUAGCUGUGUAAGAGGGCAAAUGUUUCUUUGAUUAGUGGAGUAGAUAAUGAAGUUCCUGCACUGCACAAGCAGGACAUUGAAAAGACAAAGGACGACUCGCGGUUCAAUUUGAGGAAAAACAGGCAGCCACUUUAGCAGACUCAGUCCACUCCAAUGCUCGAGCCAUACGAUUUUUCUAAAGGUAUGCCCAUGCCUAUAACUAUUUAUGCACCUCCUACCACUUCUACAGGUUCAGCUUCCAUGCCUUUGGGUGGGAUCCUCAACUCUGCAUCUGUCCCACCCCUACCUAUUGAUUACAGACUGAACCCUGAAAACUUUUCAAAGACUGUAAAGACUGUCCGAAAGGUGGAGAAACAGAUUGUACUUUGGGGCAAAGAUUUCAAUCCUUUUAUGGAGAAAAUUAUUGCGGAUGUAUUACGCCCAUUUCAAAAUAUCCAACUUCGGUAGGACAAUAUGGAGGAGCGGAUAAACAAAAACAUUGAUGCUAUGUCCAUUCCGGAUUUUGCCUAAUUGAUUGAGGAAGUUUGGCGACUCUGGGAAGAUGUUGAUAGGAUACAGCAGCAGCCAUAGCAGUCCACCCUUGAUCCAGUUCAGAUUCUUAGCGAUGAUGACAAAGGCUUGGUUGAUUUGUUUGGGUGUCCAAUCAAGGACAAAGGUAAGAAGGCAGUGGAGAUGGAUGAGCAAACUGAAAGGGCAACCAGGAAAUCUGCUAAGAGAGAGGAGCAAAAACACAGAAUGGCGGAAAUGACACCUCAGGAACUGGAAUAAUUUCAAAUGGACUGGGCAACUAAAAAGUCAAAAAAGACAACUGAACCAGAGGAUAAAAGGCACCGGGAUGCAUCCACUGGAAUGUCUACUAGUGCGACCCCAGUUAGGGGGCCAAAUUCAAACCCUAUUUCACACCUUGUUCGAGUUGAUAGACCUCCAACCACGGAGGAUGAGAUUGUGAGUACUCCCACCACCAUGGGGUUCAACGUUGUUACCGGUGAGGCCACUGGGGACUCACCUCAUUUGAUCCAAGUCAAAUUGUGAGUAAGCAUACGACCCUGGUCUAGUUAGAUGUCUAAGUAGAUAAUGUGCAACUCAACUGACUGCAACAGUAUAAGUUGAGGGUGGCUGAUGCUGGUACUUGCAUAAUUUAAAAAAUAAAUUAGUUGGGCUACUGGGAUGAUGUUGAAAUGACAUAAAUAAAUAAAGCUUUAGUGUUGGUGAGUAGCUACCUAGAAGGGUAAAAGAGAGUGAGUCUAGCCAUGUCGUCCCAAAUAGCAAUCUUCACCAAGCCCAAAACCUUAUUUGUAAUCCUAAAAAGUCCUACUUGAUCUUGGCGAGUUAGUUAUAAAGAAACAUUAGAUGAUAUGGGCAAGCUUAUGGGUGCGCAUUAUGUUUGCAACUUCUGUUCUGAGAAUGAGAGUCUUAGGUUUAUCCACAAAUUAAUUAUAUAUAAUGAGAGGUGGAUUUAUUUGGCUAUGAGAGCACACAAGUUAUCCUUAGACUGUUGAUUUCUUUGGGUAUUGUAUCUAUGGCCAUAAAUAUGCUGAGUAGUAGUUGAUGCCAGUUAUAGAUCUUUAUGUGUCAAAGCAUUUAUCCCAAUGGGCGGUUGAAUAAUUCUAUAGCUGUGUUGACAUGACUGUUCCUGUCAAUUUGUUGUUCGUAUGUGCAAAAAUGGUGUGAGUUGCUUGAGGACGAAAUUGUCUUAAGUUGAGGGUGUUGAUAUUCCGGCUUCCGAUGGAAUAUCUUAGGCUUUUUUCGUAAGAAAAAUGCAUAUUUUCGAGAAACUAAUGUUGUAUUUGAUAUUGUAUUUAAGUGUUUUCAGGACAAAAGCCAAGUGGGAUGAAUUACUUAAGAAAAUGGGAAAAACCAGAAGAAAAUGACAUACGACGGUGCGUUCGACGGAUUGUCGUAACCUCGUCGGACCGUCGGGACCCACCAUUGCACAGGAGCUGAAGACCAGGCCACUGGAAUCAUGUGACGAUGGCAUGCAAUGGACCGUCGGACUUACGACGGUCCAUCGAAAGACACCGUCGCGGCUGAGCAGAAUCUAUCAACACUGGAAUCAAGCGACGGUCGUGUGCGAUGGGCCGUCGGACAUGCGACAGACCGUCGAUGUGCACCAUUGCACUUGAAGCAAUGAAUUUCAAUUUUGAAAUAUGAAACCCUGAUUUCAAGAGUCUUAUAAAUACUAUGUGGUAGGGUUUAUUUUAGACAUUCUUACAUUAUUCAUUAUUAUCUUCCACACUUUCUUAGCCUCCUUCUUAGCUUAGUGUUUUUCUUUCAUUCCCGCCUACAACUUUUCUUUUGGGGGCUAGAUCUGUGAUCUACAUUUCUAGAUCUAGCUCUCUACCCUUCUUUUGUAUCUUGUUUUUCUACUUCUUUUGUAACUUAGCAUAUUGUGGGGAGUAAGCUUUAGCUUUGGCAUUUAAUCAUUUCAUUU